rnacentral:tRNA from 1 species
GCAGGCGUGGCGGAACUGGCAGACGCGCUGGAUUUAGGUUCCAGUAGGGCAACCUGUGAGAGUUCGAGUCUCUCCGCCUGCACCA